AGAGUUUGAUCCUGGCUCAGGAUGAACGCUAGCUACAGGCUUAACACAUGCAAGUCGAGGGGCAGCAUGAACUUAGCUUGCUAAGUUUGAUGGCGACCGGCGCACGGGUGAGUAACACGUAUCCAACCUGCCGAUGACUCGGGGAUAGCCUUUCGAAAGAAAGAUUAAUACCCGAUGGCAUAGUUCUUCCGCAUGGUAGAACUAUUAAAGAAUUUCGGUCAUCGAUGGGGAUGCGUUCCAUUAGGUUGUUGGCGGGGUAACGGCCCACCAAGCCUUCGAUGGAUAGGGGUUCUGAGAGGAAGGUCCCCCACAUUGGAACUGAGACACGGUCCAAACUCCUACGGGAGGCAGCAGUGAGGAAUAUUGGUCAAUGGACGCGAGUCUGAACCAGCCAAGUAGCGUGAAGGAUGACUGCCCUAUGGGUUGUAAACUUCUUUUAUAUGGGAAUAAAGUGAGCCACGUGUGGCUUUUUGUAUGUACCAUACGAAUAAGGAUCGGCUAACUCCGUGCCAGCAGCCGCGGUAAUACGGAGGAUCCGAGCGUUAUCCGGAUUUAUUGGGUUUAAAGGGAGCGUAGAUGGAUGUUUAAGUCAGUUGUGAAAGUUUGCGGCUCAACCGUAAAAUUGCAGUUGAUACUGGAUAUCUUGAGUGCAGUUGAGGCAGGCGGAAUUCGUGGUGUAGCGGUGAAAUGCUUAGAUAUCACGAAGAACUCCGAUUGCGAAGGCAGCCUGCUAAGCUGCAACUGACAUUGAGGCUCGAAAGUGUGGGUAUCAAACAGGAUUAGAUACCCUGGUAGUCCACACGGUAAACGAUGAAUACUCGCUGUUUGCGAUAUACUGCAAGCGGCCAAGCGAAAGCGUUAAGUAUUCCACCUGGGGAGUACGCCGGCAACGGUGAAACUCAAAGGAAUUGACGGGGGCCCGCACAAGCGGAGGAACAUGUGGUUUAAUUCGAUGAUACGCGAGGAACCUUACCCGGGUUUGAACGCAUUCGGACCGAGGUGGAAACACCUUUUCUAGCAAUAGCCGUUUGCGAGGUGCUGCAUGGUUGUCGUCAGCUCGUGCCGUGAGGUGUCGGCUUAAGUGCCAUAACGAGCGCAACCCUUGUUGUCAGUUACUAACAGGUUCCGCUGAGGACUCUGACAAGACUGCCAUCGUAAGAUGUGAGGAAGGUGGGGAUGACGUCAAAUCAGCACGGCCCUUACGUCCGGGGCUACACACGUGUUACAAUGGGGGGUACAGAAGGCCGCUACCUGGUGACAGGAUGCCAAUCCCAAAAACCUCUCUCAGUUCGGAUCGAAGUCUGCAACCCGACUUCGUGAAGCUGGAUUCGCUAGUAAUCGCGCAUCAGCCACGGCGCGGUGAAUACGUUCCCGGGCCUUGUACACACCGCCCGUCAAGCCAUGGGAGCCGGGGGUACCUGAAGUGCGUAACCGCGAGGAGCGCCCUAGGGUAAAACUGGUGACUGGGGCUAAGUCGUAACAAGGUAGCCGUACCGGAAGGUGCGGCUG
rnacentral:rRNA from 1 species